UUGUUUUUCUCAGCUUUUGCUAUCAUAAAUAAUGCCGCAGUGAAGAUGUUCAUACAUAGAAAUCCUUCUCCCAAAGCAGUGUUUUGUAGGAGAAGAAACGGGAUUGGAAUCAGACUGCAUUUGAAUGCAGAUUCUCCCUUAUAAUAAUGGUGCCAUAUCAGGCUGGCAUAUUUCAUUAAAAGCGUGGGAACCCUCAGUGACCCUGGGUACUCACUUGACGUUGAGAGUUGAGCCGUGUGUUUGUUACCUUCAGGGACAAUGUGUUUGCGGUUCCUGGGGUGAGAGAAUGUGGCCUGGUCAGAGGAGAUCACCUUGCAAAGCAGUUACGGAAAGCCUCCUAUGUUUUCUUUGAGGUGUUGCAGAUAGAGCAGUGAUCAAAGCAGUCUGAGCCUUUGCUUUUGUGGAGCUGACAUUUUGUUAGGGGAUUUUUCUGGGAAAAAGCAUCACCAGCCUCUCCAAACCCGCCCCUGACACCCAGUAAACACUUGCUUCUCUUGGGGACAAAAGCAAUGCAUGACAAAAUGGAGUAAAGCUCUCCUGCUCUCCACAUGAUCAGAUCUGAACAUCAGCCCUAUUGAAAUGGAGCCCAUCCUACUCCAGUGUGACCUCACUUUAGCUUGACUGCAAUGACUGAUCUGCAAUGACCUUAUUUCCAAAUAGGAUCAUUCUGAGGUAUGGCUCUACCAUCAGGUGCCUCCGUUGUAGCAUGUGCGCUGCAUUAAAAAGCAACCUGAGCAGACAAAGGGGACUGCUGCCUUCUACAGGCACCUAGGACAGCCUCUGCCUGAGCAUUGAUGCUUCAUAAAUAUUGGUUGAAUUAACAAAUAAAUGGAGGAGGAGGAUGGCGGAAUAGGAACAGCUCCAGUCUACAGCU
rnacentral:lncRNA from 1 species